AGGCAGCAGUGAGGAAUAUUGGUCAAUGGGCGUAAGCCUGAACCAGCCAAGUCGCGUGAGGGAUGAAGGUUCUAUGGAUCGUAAACCUCUUUUAUAAGGGAAUAAAGUGUGGGACGUGUCCUGUUUUGUAUGUACCUUAUGAAUAAGGAUCGGCUAACUCCGUGCCAGCAGCCGCGGUAAUACGGAGGAUCCGAGCGUUAUCCGGAUUUAUUGGGUUUAAAGGGUGCGUAGGCGGCCUUUUAAGUCAGCGGUGAAAGUCUGUGGCUCAACCAUAGAAUUGCCGUUGAAACUGGGAGGCUUGAGUAUGUUUGAGGCAGGCGGAAUGCGUGGUGUAGCGGUGAAAUGCUUAGAUAUCACGCAGAACCCCGAUUGCGAAGGCAGCCUGCCAAGCCAUGACUGACGCUGAUGCACGAAAGCGUGGGGAUCAAACAGGAUUAGAUACCCUGGUAGUCCACGCAGUAAACGAUGAUCACUAGCUGUUUGCGAUACAGUGUAA
rnacentral:rRNA from 1 species